CAGAGUCGAGGUGCCCGGGCGGUUAACCCCGUCCGGGCACGGAACCUCACCCACCCGUGUCUACCGUACCAUGUUGCUUCGGCGGGCCCGCCGUUAACUCGGCCGCCGGGGGACCCCAAAGUCCCCGGGCCCGUGCCCGCCGGAGACCCCCCGAACACUGCCUGAAGGUUGCUGUCUGAGUGGUUAAAAAACAAACAAAUA
rnacentral:misc_RNA from 1 species